ACGUAGGGGGCAAGCGUUGUCCGGAAUGAUUGGGCGUAAAGGGCGCGUAGGCGGCCAACUAAGUCUGGAGCGAAAGUCCUUCUUUUAAGGAGGGAAUUGCUUUGGAAACUGGAUGGCUUGAGUGUAGGAGAGGUUAGUGGAAUUCCCGGUGUAGCGGUGAAAUGCGUAGAGAUCGGGAGGAACACCAGUGGCGAAGGCGACUAACUGGACUAUGACUGACGCUGAGGCGCGAAAGUGUGGGGAGCAAACAG
rnacentral:rRNA from 1 species